CCUACGGGUGGCAGCAGUGAGGAAUAUUGGUCAAUGGGCGCGAGCCUGAACCAGCCAAGUCGCGUGAGGGAUGACGGUCCUACGGAUUGUAAACCUCUUUUGCCGGGGAGCAAGCGUGCGUUCGUGAACGCGCGUCGAGAGUACCCGGAGUAAAAGCAUCGGCUAACUCCGUGCCAGCCGCCGCGGUAAUACGGAGGAUGCGAGCGUUAUCCGGAUUUAGUGGGUGUAAAGGGUGCGUAGGCGGGAGGCCAAGUCAGCGGUAAAAGUGCGGUGCUCAACGCGGUCGGGCCGUUGAAACUGGCGGUCUUGAGUGGGCGAGAAGUAUGCGGAAUGCGUGGGGUAGCGGUGAAAUGCAUAGAUAUCACGCAGAACUCCGAUUGCGAAGGCAGCAUACCGGCGCCCUACUGACGCUGAGGCACGAAAGCGUGGGUAUCGAACAGGAUUAGAUACCCCAGUAGUC
rnacentral:rRNA from 1 species